AGCUGGUCAGCUUCCUCCUGUGCUGAGACCAGUUUGGGCUGGGGACUGACUCCAGAAGCUCUGGUUUGCACUCAGAGGCACUGCCUGUUGCUCUGUGCUGAAAGCUGCCCCAUUUCCAUCUGCCCAGUGUGCAGUUGCUGCCUCGCCAGCCUGGCUCACCUGCAUUGUUCUGUGUGCAGGUAGGAGGAGAGGGAGAGGUUUGGGAUAAGGGCUGUGACCCCGUCCCCCUGCUCCUUUCCUCCUCACCAGUGUGUGCUCAUAGAUAACACAUGGCAUGGCACGGCUGGCGUCUUCUGGGCUAGCUUCAUGCUGGGUGCUGCAGCACAAUGUAGGGAUAUCCGAGCUCAGCUGGGACAAGCAGCAGUGCUUUUUCUGCAGACUCAGCUGGGGGAGCACCGAGCAGGUAGGAUGUUACUGGUUUGGCACCCAUCCUAACCAGCUAAAGCUUGUCGUGUGCACACAUGCUGCUUGCUGCGUGGUGGAUGUGCUGAGACGUUUGCAAAAGGCGUAACUUCUGAAUUUUUACUCCUUUUACACCAGUUGCUUUUCUAAGGCUGUUUUCCAGGUGCUGCUGCAUACCUGCUCUGGUAAGAGCUGGAAUGUGCUGAUUGCUUCAGCAUCCUUCACAUCGCUGAGUAGUUACAGAGCUCUUGGAUGGCUGUGGUGAGCAGGGCAAGUGCUUUAGUAUAACAUGCAGAUAGACGGCUUGGUGUGGGUAAUGGUUCCCUUUGGAUCCUUUAUUGAGGAAUGGUUCCUGAAACAACAGUGCUGCUUGUACGAAAUCCUGUUUUGACAGCUAAUGAAAGCUUGAAUCCUUACAAUGCUGGCGGAUGCCAUUUCUGUUAAAAUUAUUACCAGCAGCUCUGCAGUUUGGGGAGCCAAGUUUCACUGAAAGCACGAUUACUCUAGCAUUUGCAAAGACGGCACGUCAUAAUUUCCUAAGGCAACACUAACAAUUUAGUGUAUUUGCUUCCCAGAGUGUGCUGCGUGAGCCUGAGCUGACAUGUGCGAGAGCAGGUGGCCGCUGUCAGCGCUGGGGAAGCACGGGGAGGAAACCUCCUGCUGCUGCUGCUUUCCAGCUCCUUGGGUACCGUGUGCGCAUUGCACGCCAUCGCUUGGUGUCCCCAGCUACUGCUGAGAGCGCUGGUCUGCCUCGUGCUGGGAAGUCCUCAGCUCUUCAUUUGAUAGGCAUCAGUGCUGGCAUUGCUUCAUUGCAGAGCUUGGACAUGGAAUCAAUCAUUCAGGAGGUACGGCAAGGGAAAGGGGUUGAAAACAAAUCAGGAGAGGGAAAGAGGCGAUAGAAGAAAUCACAUUCAUUAACUGGGGUGAUGUCAAACUGCUCUUUUUCACCUGUUUCCUGGUUACAGGAGAGGGCAGACGUUCUGAGCAUAGCUCUUACUUGCCAUUUGACAGGCUUAUCUGUGUGUACAAGUACUCGUGCAAGCUUAUGAAUAGUCAGGAAAAGCUUUUGAGCUGUGGGUCAAACCUGCCCAAGUUAGCAGCGAGCAAAGCUGCUGGGACAUGCAGCCCAACUGCUGGUCAUUCCCUCUUCCUGAGCGCCGCUGUGCAAGUAAUAGACACCGUCCACAUUUCUGCUUGGCGUCUUUCCCUGUAUUUGUCCUUCUGAUCUUGUGUUUAUGCCCUUCCCUACUGCUUUGCUCCUAAGCCGUGGAAGUGGAUGAGGUGUGGGGCCCUUGGGCUGCUGCCACGAGCAGGCAGGGCUUGCUCCAUCUGUCUCUGCCACGGCUGGGCACCGCUGCUCCAAGCUCGUGGGGAAGGAGAGCGGCUGCAGCAGUGCACCAGAAAGGAGAUUGAUCUUCUGAGAGGUUUGAAUACCCAAGUCCAUUAGAGUUUCCUGGGAAAUAUCAGCUCGGAUUCAUGCUGGCGUACCUUGGAAAUCUUUUAAAAUUAAGUACCAAAAAUCAAUGCGUUGCAAGACUCCCAGCAUGUAAUUCUGAACCCAUUUGGAGAUUUGUGCUAAUUUUGAAAAUAAUCUUUCUAUUUUAACUGUUACUUUGAACGUAUUUUGAAAGUAUUUUGAACUUGUAUAGAAAGGGAACAAUUAAAGGAAAGAUUACAUUGUGUUACUUUAAUUGUGAUGGAUUGAAUCAUUUGCUGAAGGAAAAUAUCUACAAAGCGUAUCGAAGUGCAGAAGCAAAAAUGAAAAUGAAAAUUGGUCUCAGCUGUUCCACUCCCCAUGACAAAAGUGUAUUUAUGUAAUCCAUUCCUUCUUGUAUCUUGAUAGUGCUGCGCACACAGUGCAUGAAUUAAUUCUACUGAGAACUGCGGUGAGAUUGUCUCUGAGCCCGUGUAAGCACGAGGAAUGCACCUUGACUCUCUGGUCCCCUGCAUAUUCAACGUGGCUGUUGCUGGUGCUUGGUUCCACCAGCAGUGCCAAGGGCCACGCAGUGGAGGUUGAGGCACAUGGGGUUUUGUGACAGCCCUCAAUUAGCCGGUAGUUUUCUCUUUGAAAGAGCACUUCUUAGAGAGCAGCUUUAGGUGGCUUUCCAGCUGCUCCACUCGGGACAGAACUUCUCUUGGGAGUGAAAUUUUGGUCUAAGAGCUUCCUGUGCUGGCAGCCUGGGGAAGAAAAACACACCUGCCACUGAGAGUGGGAAGAAUUCACUGAUAGCUAUGAGACAGGCUCACCCUGCAGGGCAGGGAAGGAGAUCCUGAACCCGUAGGGUUUUUCUCUGCCCUGGUCCCACUGAUGUGCUUUAAUCAUCACGCAGGUCUGGAUGGAAAGCAGUGCCCCAAAAAGGCAGGGUUUGGAGAUAGAGCGUGCGGUAUCUUGACAGCAAGUAGUUUAUAUCUACCUGUAUGAUGUACAGACAGUGCUUUAAUUCAUGCUGUCCUCUCACCAACAGUUAAGUGUAAUUGUUAAUGGCAGGUUCAGUAACAGUGUCCUGCACAACUGCACUAAUUGCAAAUCCUGGAUCUCCCUGGAAGCAAAGUCCCCCUGCUCGCAGGAGAGCUGCGAAGCUGCCGUUGCCGGUGUAAGUGAAUGUCCCGUGGUGCUGUGUAAUGAGAGCACGGUGGGUGAAAGGAGCGCUGCAGCAGCUCGCGUGGCAGUGGUGCCCUGAAUUCAGAGCUCUAUUCCUUCCCAGGGACACUGCUGCAUCUUGGAAGCUGUAAGAGGUCGAAGCAAUAGAGUCUAACACCUGCCAUAAACCCUGUCUCGGAACUAAGGUUAAGGCUAAGGUUGUUUUGGUGAGAAUGAAGCAAGAGCAUCAGCUCCCCUUCCUGCCUCUCCAGCUUCUGGGGACUGAGGGAUUCACAGUCUCUGUGUGCUUCCUUUAUUGUGGAAAAUGCUUCCUCCAUUGUGAGCUAGGGGCAUUUUAUUUUCAUGAAAAUCCUCCCUGCAGUGUGGCAAGGGUCCAGCUGGCCACAUGCUAUUGCCACGCACUGCCGGAGUAUAGCGGUCAUGUUGGACUUCCUCGUCCGUCUGAUGAAAUGAAUUCCUUUUCUCUGAGGCAGGACGGGGAAUGUAUGGGUGUGUAUUGGGUAUGGUGAGACAGAGCACGCGGAGAGGAAAAAGGCUGUCUUCUGGCAGCCUCCCAUGUGAAGCCAGGGAGGAGGUAGAGACGUGUUAAUUGAUUGUGGGUGCAAACAAAAUUGUUCCCCAGCCAGUCUCUUGCUCCGAAAGGUAUUAAGUCACUGGUGAAACUUGUACAGCUUUCACCUUCAUAAAAUCAGGCAACAAAUGGUAAACAAAUGAUGAUUUUAUUAGUGCUGUCCUUUUGGGGGAUCUAAACUAAAUCUAGGUUGUGAUCUAUCGAACAGGUUCUCUCGCCUUAAUUUUCAUGGCUCGGCUUUCCCUGCAGCUGUACUGCCUGAGAGCCAAGCACCCAUCACUUCCAUUCCCAGCGGUGCUGUCAGCUGCAGGUGCUCAAUACUUCUGGGACUGGCAGGAAAGCAAGCAAUACUCCUAGCCGAAGGUCUGCUUUGUGCAGGCAGUUCCCGUGUUUUCUAACCCGCCCAGCCCAGCAUGUACCUCAGAGGAUCUGAAGACGUUUAACUAGACUUGGAAGUAGACUGUGUAAUGGAGCGUGAAAAAACGUUUUAGUCUGACCAUGUGCUCUAUAAUAUCAGAUCAAUCAGCCAUCUGGCUUGGGAAAAUGGAAUCAUCUUGAUUACCGAAGUGUGCGGAUCCCUCUGGGAGCUGCAGUUAGCUGCUGAGCGUCUCUGAAGAGUGCCCUGCUCUCCUCGCGUGUCUUUCACAGCAGCUUGCUGACAAGUCUCGACACAAGACAGACACAAAUCAAUAGCAUGUUUUUAAAUGUUAGUGAGAUGGAAUUUCAGGGAGCCUUCAUGUUAAUGUCAUUUGGCACUUACACGGAGUAAACAGCAGACGAGGAAAAGCAGACUUGAAUUUGGCUCCGAGAGAGUGAUGUGAGUCCAGGCCCAGCACCUAUUUAACUCCCUGAGGUGUGCUGCGGAAAGCAGGUGGCCUGUGCUUGAGCAGGAAAACUGCUGGGCUCCAGCGUCGGAUUUGUUGUGCAGGUGCAGUUGGUUUACAGCACAUGUGGUCAGCCUGACCCUUCCCGGGAAAGAUCUGAGCAUCACCACUGAUUUCGGCAUUCAGAGCUGCUGGAGUGUGACACAUUCCAUGAUUCCUCCCUGCCCGGCUGGUGAAAGCACUUCUCCACUCCGGAGCGAGCCCCGAGACCCAGCACUUCCCUCAAACAAAGAGCUGGAGACAGACGGCGCCUGCAGGACUCAUCCUAAUGGGAGCCAGUUUCGGGAGAAAGCCUAGGCUGUGAUUUCGAGAUCUUUGGUGUUGGUUUAAAUGAGCUCUGCGAGUCCCAGGGAGGAGACUCAUUUUUUGGUUCUGUGCCUCCUGCAUAGGUGCUGUGUAUCACACAUUUUCAGUGGCUCACAGCAACUAGAUGGAAAAGUCUCAUUUCAGGAGCAAGUAGGGGCACGUAGUUCAUAGGAAUGGGUCCUACCCAUUAAGGCUUUCUGUAGUAUCAGAGGAGACACUUCUGUCUGCAGGAGAUGGGUCUGUAUAUUUUAAAGGUGUUCUUCACUUGUUCCUUUUCAUAGAUCAACCAGUGAGAAGUGCAAAUGAAGAGGAAACAUUGGGUUAUAUUUGAAUGUGGUCAGCUACUGAUUUUCCCUAGUGAUUUGUUCACGUCUUAAAAACCCUCAUUUCCUCCUCCUGAUGACAGAAGCAGGGACUUCUUUCUUUGAUCUCUUGGCAUACCUGUCCCUCUUGUAUCAGGGAGAAAAGUGAGCCAUACCAAAACGUUCUUUUUGGUGUCCAUGGAGGCCUUAAUUAGCUCUUCUUAAUUUUUCUUCCUUUUUGCUGUCAAUUAUUAACAGUCUAUAGAACUCUCAUGGGUUAUUUUCUACAUGAAAUAGACAUUAUUUUAGCUUGGGAAGGGCUACACAGUUUUUGUGAUACGGAGCAGACAAAAUACAUUUCUGUAUUUCCUGUAAUUGUGUGGAACUUUUACACAGCCUCUAGGAAACUUUUUUUUUUUUUUUUUUUUUUUUUAAACAGAGUAGGGUAUGGCUAUUUUUAAACCACAAAUAUUUCAGUGAUUCUAUGGGCCUAUUCUCUUUUCUAAACUAGCUACAGUGAUUGUGUCUGUUCAUGCAUUGAGAUAAAUGGAUCUAAACACAUGAUGUCUUUCCCUGUGAGUGGCAGUCAAACACGGAGAUUUAAUAGUCCUGUCAUGUUAAUGUUACUCUUAAAAGACUUGGCUAUAGCAGAAAACCACAAUUUAAUAAAAAUUGG